rnacentral:rRNA from 1 species
GACGCUGGCGGCAGGCUUAACCAUGCAAGUCGANCGGGGGAACGGAGCUUGCUACCGGACCUAGCGGCGGACGGGUGAGUAAUGCUUAGGAAUCUGCCUAUUAGUGGGGGACAACAUCUCGAAAGGGAUGCUAAUACCGCAUACGUCCUACGGGAGAAAGCAGGGGAUCUUCGGACCUUGCGCUAAUAGAUGAGCCUAAGUCGGAUUAGCUAGUUGGUGGGGUAAAGGCCUACCAAGGCGACGAUCUGUAGCGGGUCUGAGAGGAUGAUCCGCCACACUUGGACUGAGACACGGCCAGACUCCUACGNCAGGCAGAGUUGGNGAAUAUUUGGCCAAUGGGGGGAACCCUUGAUCCAAGCCAUGCCUCUUGUUGUUGAUGUAUUGGCCUUAAUGGAUUUU